AUGCUAAUUUCCUUCUUGCCUUCGGUGCCGCUGAUCGAGCUAACGCAGCAGGUUCUGAGCUGGGUGCACAGCAGGCUUCAGGGAUCCCAUUGCAGCCAGGAGAAAUCAGAGUUCAGCGCCGGCUCGAUUCGACCAGCUGCUGAUCACACUAGCAGUUCCAGUGGACCUCGUCGGGGCGACGGCAAGCCCGGCGCCGGCUGGCACCCGGCAACGCUCGUCAUUGCCAAAGGAGCGACCACCGCGGUGGAAGACGAAGGCAAGAGCCAUCAGCUGGCGCUGAAGAAUGGAGGAGUAGUCAGGCACAUGUCGUUCAGGAAAUUCAUGGCGUGUGCCUUCAGCGGCUUCCUGGCCAGACCAUGCUUCAGGGGAGCCAAGCCACGAUCUGCCGAGAUACCCUGGCAAUUGCCCCAUAACGACAUACCCAGCGAUUACUCGGCGAUGUCAGAGGCCGCGAUCAACAGCUACCGAACGUUGCAAUUGCCUUGGAGAGGCAAAGCGGUGGCGGCGGAACAAGGGAGCAGAUGGAUCACAACAGACUCGGAGUAUAUCGUGUUGGAGAUCUGA
rnacentral:rRNA from 1 species